AUUCUGUAGCAAGGUUAACCGUAUAGGGGAGCCGGAGGGAAACCGAGUCUUAACCGGGCGUUAAGUUGCAGGGUAUAGACCCGAAACCCGGUGAUCUAGCCAUGGGCAGGUUGAAGGUUGGGUAACACUAACUGGAGGACCGAACCGACUAAUGUUGAAAAAUUAGCGGAUGACCUGUGGCUGGGGGUGAAAGGCCAAUCAAACCGGGAGAUAGCUGGUUCUCCCCGAAAGCUAUUUAGGUAGCGCCUCGUGAACUCAUCUCCGGGGGUAGAGCACUGUUUCGGCUAGGGGGCCAUCCCGGCUUACCAACCCGAUGCAAACUGCGAAUACCGGAGAAUGUUAUCACGGGAGACACACGGCGGGUGCUAACGUCCGUCGUGAAGAGGGAAACAACCCAGACCGCCAGCUAAGGUCCCAAAGUCAUGGUUAAGUGGGAAACGAUGUGGGAAGGCCCAGACAGCCAGGAUGUUGGCUUAGAAGCAGCCAUCAUUUAAAGAAAGCGUAAUAGCUCACUGGUCGAGUCGGCCUGCGCGGAAGAUGUAACGGGGCUAAACCAUGCACCGAAGCUGCGGCAGCGACGCUGAUGCGUUGUUGGGUAGGGGAGCGUUCUGUAAGCCUGCGAAGGUGGCCUGUGAGGGUUGCUGGAGGUAUCAGAAGUGCGAAUGCUGACAUAAGUAACGAUAAAGCGGGUGAAAAGCCCGCUCGCCGGAAGACCAAGGGUUCCUGUCCAACGUUAAUCGGGGCAGGGUGAGUCGACCCCUAAGGCGAGGCCGAAAGGCGUAGUCGAUGGGAAACGGGUUAAUAUUCCCGUACUUGGUGUUACUGCGAAGGGGGGACGGAGAAGGCUAUGUUGGCCGGGCGACGGUUGUCCCGGUUUAAGCGUGUAGGUGUGUGUUCCAGGUAAAUCCGGUUCACUUUAACACUGAGGCGUGAUGACGAGGCACUACGGUGCUGAAGCAACAAAUGCCCUGCUUCCAGGAAAAGCCUCUAAGCAUCAGGUAACAUCAAAUCGUACCCCAAACCGACACAGGUGGUCAGGUAGAGAAUACCAAGGCGCUUGAGAGAACUCGGGUGAAGGAACUAGGCAAAAUGGUGCCGUAACUUCGGGAGAAGGCACGCUGACACGUAGGUGAAGUGAUUUACUCAUGGAGCUGAAGUCAGUCGAAGAUACCAGCUGGCUGCAACUGUUUAUUAAAAACACAGCACUGUGCAAACACGAAAGUGGACGUAUACGGUGUGACGCCUGCCCGGUGCCGGAAGGUUAAUUGAUGGGGUCAGCGCAAGCGAAGCUCCUGAUCGAAGCCCCGGUAAACGGCGGCCGUAACUAUAACGGUCCUAAGGUAGCGAAAUUCCUUGUCGGGUAAGUUCCGACCUGCACGAAUGGCGUAAUGAUGGCCAGGCUGUCUCCACCCGAGACUCAGUGAAAUUGAACUCGCUGUGAAGAUGCAGUGUACCCGCGGCAAGACGGAAAGACCCCGUGAACCUUUACUAUAGCUUGACACUGAACAUUGAGCCUUGAUGUGUAGGAUAGGUGGGAGGCUUUGAAGUGUGG
rnacentral:rRNA from 1 species